UACGGAGGGGGCUAGCGUUGUUCGGAAUUACUGGGCGUAAAGAGCGCGCAGGCGGUCGUUCAAGUCGCGUGUGAAAGCCCCCGGCUCAACUGGGGAGGGUCACGCGAUACUGAUCGACUCGAAGGCAGGAGAGGGAAGUGGAAUUCCCGGUGUAGUGGUGAAAUGCGUAGAUAUCGGGAGGAACACCAGUGGCGAAGGCGACUUCCUGGCCUGUUCUUGACGCUGAGGCGCGAAAGCUAGGGGAGCAAACGGGG
rnacentral:rRNA from 1 species